GAUGAAGAACGCAGCGAAAUGCGAUACGUAAUGUGAAUUGCAGAAUUCAGUGAAUCAUCGAGUCUUUGAACGCACAUUGCGCCCCCUGGUAUUCCGGGGGCAUGCCUGUCCGAGCGUCAUUGCUGCCCUCAAGCACGGCUUGUGUGUUGGGCCUCCGUCCUCCUCCCGGGGGACGGGCCCGAAAGGUAGCGGCGGCACCGCGUCCGGUCCUCGAGCGUAUGGGGCUUCGUCACCCGCUCUUGUAGGCCCGGCCGGCGCUUGCCGACACAUCAAUCUUUUUUCCAGGUUGACCUCGGAUCAGGUAGGGAUACCCGCUGAACUUAAGCAUAUCAAUAAGCGGAGGA
rnacentral:misc_RNA from 1 species